UUAUUUUGUUGGAUAAUGGCAUCAUCAAUGAGUAUUUUGAGUCAAAUUUCCAUUGUUAUUGUUGUUGAUGAUGGUUGUAUUCAUUUUGGAUUCCCUGAUUUUUAGGCUUUUUAAAAGAAAUAAGAUUCAGGCUCAAAAAGUUAAAUUCAUUGAAUUCAAAACAAAAUUUUGUCCUUGAAAUGAAAAGAAGAUUUCAUUUCUCAACAGAAAACAAUUUGAAUGCAGCAAAACAAUGAUUCGUUCGAAAUGUCCAGAUGUUCGAAAUUAAACAUUCGAUUUUGUUUUGUUUUUAUGAUCAUCAUCAUCAACGACCAUAAAGUGAAUUGAAUAUCUUCUUUUUUUUCAAAAAAUUCCAACCACCAUUAUUGCCUCCAUUAAACAUUUGUCUUCACAAAAAUCCAAAUCUUAUUUCCUUCCUUUCUUUUGCAUAUUAUGAUGACAAUAACCUUAUCGU